rnacentral:rRNA from 1 species
UACGUAGGGUGCGAGCGUUGUCCGGAAUUAUUGGGCGUAAAGAGCUCGUAGGCGGUUUGUCGCGUCUGCCGUGAAAGUCCGGGGCUCAACUCCGGAUCUGCGGUGGGUACGGGCAGACUAGAGUGAUGUAGGGGAGACUGGAAUUCCUGGUGUAGCGGUGAAAUGCGCAGAUAUCAGGAGGAACACCGAUGGCGAAGGCAGCUCGCUGGGACGGUACUGACGCUGAGACGCGAAAGCGUGGGGAGCAAACAGG